rnacentral:rRNA from 1 species
UUCGCAAUGCCCGAAAGGGUGACGAAGCGACGCCGCGUGUGGGAAGAAGGCCCUCGGGUUGUAAACCACUGUCAGGAGUUAAGAAAUAUAGAGAUGUUAAUAGCGUCUCUAUUUGACGAAGGCUCCAGAGGAAGCCACGGCUAACUCUGUGCCAGCAGCCGCGGUAAUACAGAGGUGGCAAGCGUUGUUCGGAAUUAUUGGGCGUAAAGAGCACGUAGGCGGCCUUGCAAGUCAGUUGUGAAAGCCUUUCGCUCAACGGAGGAAUGGCAGCUGAUACUACAGGGCUAGAGUGCGGGAGGGGAGAGUGGAACUUCUGGUGGAGCGGUGAAAAGCGUAGAUAUCAGAAGGAACGCCGGCGGCGAAAGCGACUCUCUGGACCGCAACUGACGCUGAGUGUGCGAAAGCUAGGGGAGCAAACGGGAUUAGAUACCCCGGUAGUCCUAGCCGUAAACGAUGGGCACUAAGUAGAGGGGUUUUA